ACGGAAGGCAGCAGUGGGGAAUAUUGCACAAUGGGCGCAAGCCUGAUGCAGCGAUGCCGCGUGAGGGAAGAAGGUUUUCGGAUUGUAAACCUCUGUCAUCGGGGACGAUAAUGACUGUACCCGAGAAGGAAGCUCCGGCUAACUACGUGCCAGCAGCCGCGGUAAUACGUAGGGAGCGAGCGUUAUCCGGAAUUACUGGGUGUAAAGGGAGUGUAGGCGGGACUGUAAGUCAGAUGUGAAAUAUACCGGCUCAACUGGUAGACUGCAUUUGAAACUGCGGUUCUUGAGUGAAGUAGAGGUAAGCGGAAUUCCUAGUGUAGCGGUGAAAUGCGUAGAUAUUAGGAAGAACACCAGUGGCGAAGGCGGUUAGCUGGACAAUAACUGACGCUGAGGCGCGAAAGCGUGGGUAGCAAACAGGAUUAGAUACCCUGGUA
rnacentral:rRNA from 1 species